GAUGAAGAACGCAGCGAAAUGCGAUAAGUAAUGUGAAUUGCAGAAUUCAGUGAAUCAUUGAAUCUUUGAACGCACCUUGCGCUCCUUGGCAUUCCGAGGAGCAUGCCUGUUUGAGUGUCAUUAAAUUCUCAAGACCUGUCUGCUUUUUUGAUAGGUAUUGGAUUUUGGGGGUUGCAGGCUGUUUCAAAUAAAUAGCCUUGCUCUCCUUGAAUGUAUUAGUGGAGAAAAGCCAUUGAACUCCAUUGGUGUGAUAAAACCUAUCAAUGCCAGGAGCAAUAGCACUACUUCUCUCUGCUGUCUAACUGUGACUGUCUGUAUUAAUUAGUAUGGAUGGGGACAACUUGACCAACUUGACCUCAAAUCAGGUAGGACUACCCGCUGAACUUAAGCAUAUCAAUAAGCGGAGGA
rnacentral:misc_RNA from 1 species